rnacentral:rRNA from 1 species
UACGUAUGGUGCAAGCGUUAUCCGGAUUUACUGGGUGUAAAGGGAGCGUAGACGGCUUUGCAAGCCAGAUGUGAAAGCCCGGGGCUCAACCCCGGGACUGCAUUUGGAACUGUAUGGCUGGAGUGUCGGAGAGGCAGGCGGAAUUCCUAGUGUAGCGGUGAAAUGCGUAGAUAUUAGGAGGAACACCAGUGGCGAAGGCGGCCUGCUGGACGAUGACUGACGUUGAGGCUCGAAAGCGUGGGGAGCAAACAGG